UCUAAAAUAGCUGAACUGUGAUGUUUUCUCUUGACAGAGCUGGUAAGAGGCCACAGACGCUUACUUUCUGUGAUUCUGAAACUUGCAGAUCUUCUUUGAGUCACACCUUAUAAGUAAAAUUAGCUUGUGCCUUGCUGUUGCCAAACCUUUUCAAAGCAGAGAUAUUUGUACAAAGGAAUUCAUCAACAGAAACGGAAUUCACUUGUGGAUCAGAUUACUGCUAUUUCUGGCUGGAAGCAGCACCAGAAAUACUUGCAGGGAUUUCCAUUUUGCCUUUUGAAAGAUGUUAUGCAUAUUGUUGAUAGAAAAGUAGCUAUUUGGGAGGAUAAUUCAUGUACGUUAAGAGACAGGAAGGGAGAUGAGCCCCACAAGGCUAUCACAGCCAUGAAUGAGUGUUUAGCUUUGCACUGUAACAUCCAGUCGCUUUUGAAAUGGGGAUCUUUAGCUGUUGUUGUGGAGAAUGUUGUGACGUGAGCUGCAAUUGCUGCUGCUUGGGAGAUGUUUCCAGCCAGAAGCCUAAGCUUUCAUUCAAAGAGCAGUUUUUAUGCUGAUUCUGUAUUGGCAUCCUAGAGAGUUGUUUCAGAUGUCUUCCUGCAUGUGACAACUCUGCAGAUGAUGCGUAAUGAAGGGAAGUAUUUUGAUAUUAAAGUAGUGAUCAUUUGUGAUACUGACACAUGUGAUGUUACCUUAAAACCUGUCGGUUGGGAGCAUAGUUCAAAAAAGUCUGGUGUUUAAAAUACAUGCUGAUCAGUGGUGUAUGUUUUACAGCCAGCUUUAAAUAAAGCCUGAGUCCACUGGAUAGUGCUCUCCUCAGGGACAGACCCCAAUGUCAUGUGAAGAGCUGGGCUCAGCGGCUGAUGGACCUGCACAGCCCACAGAGGGGGAGCGGGGCACCGGAAAAGUGCCGGCAGUGACAGUGAAACAUCAUGUUCCCCUCUGGAUGCCCGAACAGAGCAGAUGUUUCCAGCAGCAUUAGCUACCUGGAGCAGCCAAGAACAGCUGUAAACUGUGGACUUUUAAUACAGGCCCGCUCUGGAUUGCAGCAUGGCCACAGCAGCACAUGAGCCUGGCCUGACAAAGAGCAGUCAGCACUGCCGAAGGUGGAAAUUUCAGCUGUAACUGUGCUUCACAGUGUUACAUCUGCUUGCAGUCAUUCUAGAGGAUCCACACACAGGCCAGAAGAUGACAGGAAUGCCAGAACAGGCUUUCCACAAAGAAAACAAAACUUUCUGAAGCUUCAAUAAUCUCUGCUGACUCAUGCUGUUUCUGAGUUGUCACCUGCACUUCUAUUUUUCAGGGGUUUUGCAAGUCUGUGAGGUGGAUUUACUCAUCUUUCUGUUGGACAACGUUUCUGGAGGAUUCCCUUUCCAACCCUUCGUGGCUGGCUUUGCCAGGAGUCCUGAAGGGUGAUCAGUGAUGCAGGUGGUUGGUGCUGCAGCUGCCACGCUGAGCCACUGCUCCAAAGCAUUUGCUGCUGUCAUGUGAGCUUUGCAAGGAGGGGAGGAAGGAGUUGGCCUGUUUGAUUCGGAGGGAUAUUGCUUUGAUAAAUAAAGAACAGCUUUGACUGAUGCAGGAAAGUGUGGGGUUUUGCUGUUUAGUAUCCUAGAUGAGAAAUUCUGGUCAUAAAAGUCUGUAUAAUUACUGAGGAAGCAAUGGGAAAAGUAAUACUCUCGUGUGCCCCAAGAGACCCUCUAGCAAAUCAGGGAAGAAUUAGCAUGCCUUAAAUACUUCUUGAACAAGGAGGGGGGGAACCUAAAACUUGUUUCUUUUCCUGCUCCUCCAGCAUUUCAGACUUUUCAUCUGUUUUACAAAUAAGCAAAAUGGGAGACAAGGUAAAUUUGUGAGU